rnacentral:rRNA from 1 species
CACGUAGGGCGCAAGCGUUGUCCGGAAUCACUGGGCGUAAAGGGCGCGUAGGCGGCCUGAUAAGUAGGGGGUGAAAUCCUGCGGCUUAACCGCAGGGCUGCCUUCUAAACUGUCAGGCUAGAGCACAGUAGAGGCAGGUGGAAUUCCCGGUGUAGCGGUGGAAUGCGUAGAGAUCGGGGAAGAACAUCAGUGGCGAAGGCGGCCUGCUGGGCUGUUGCUGGACGCUGAGGCGCGACAGCGUGGGGGAGCAAACAGG